AGACAAGUAAAAGUAAUAUGUCUAAAUCUAAAUUCUGUUGUAAGUAAAGCUAUAGAGCCCAACUGUGCCUGUUAUCUCUGUAGACAUGAGUUAAUAUUGAUCCUUGCAAACUUUUAUCAAAAAAAGCUAAAUUAAAUAUACAUGUUUUAAACACACGUGUUCUCAAUUUAGCUUUUUCUUUAAACAGCAAAAAUGUGCAUCAAAUGUUGAUCAACAAAACUUUUCAAAAGCAUGCAGAACAAGCCUAACUUUCAGGGGUGGUUUCGCAGACAGGGAUUAGACUAGUCCUAGACUAAAAUAAAUGUAAGAGCUGUCCAAACUGAAAACAACUUGCACUGACAUAUCUUAAAAUACACCAGUGCCCUUUAUUUUGCCUCAAAAUGCACACAAGUAAUGUUUUAAGUAAGGCAUGUUUGUUGAAACUAGAUUUAUUUCCUAUUUAAACUAAGGUAUAGUCCUGUUUUAAGAUAAUCCCUGUCUGGGAAACCAUCCCUCAGAGUUUAAGAACUUAUUACUAUGGAACUAGUCAGAUUUGAUCUUCUUCAAGAUAAGCAGAAGAGCAUUUCAGAAUUGUCAUUCAGACACGGAGGUAGCAUGUAGUGUAAAAAUCAAUAUCCGCUUAAAAUUCAAAGCCAGACAACCCAGCUGCCCUUUAUGUUGCUAACCUUUGCUUAAAUAUGCAUCAUAUUAAGAUUUCAUUAAAAACAAUGAAUGUCAUGAUAGUUUGCCAACUAUUUUUCAUGUUAGCAUGGGGUUAACUGCAAAUGAUGGCCAUAAAAUUCCACACACAGAACCGCUGGCAGACAUCCGUUUACAGAAGAAUGAUGAUAAGACAAAAAGGCAUCCACGAACGCCACAGGACUUCUAUGAUGUCUUAGAUUCAGAGUCUCCUAAUGAGCUGGGUGGGCCUGAUGAAUCAAACUUCCAUUAAAACAACAGCCUUUCAAUAGACAAACAGCAGGAUGCACCAUGCGGAGAAAUGCUCGAUGCAGUUGCAUUACGGUCAUUAUUCAUCGUGCCAGGAUUGAAAGAAAUGCUGCAGUACAUGAAAUGGAGAGAUAACACGGUCCACCUGAGAGAAGGUCAAGCCAACAAUAAUCAAGAGGUUCAGGUCAACAAGCCAAGUCCUGUUCGUUUGCAUGGAGAGGGCGGGAUUUAUGAUUUUUACUGCAACCAGCCACCAGGGGGCGAUCAACUGUCUACGUCAAAGAGUCAGCGGCUUCACUUUUCAAGAU